GACGAACGCUGGCGGCGUGCUUAACACAUGCAAGUCGAGCGAUGAAGUUCCUUCGGGAAUGGAUUAGCGGCGGACGGGUGAGUAACACGUGGGUAACCUGCCUCAUAGAGGGGAAUAGCCUUCCGAGAGGAAGAUUAAUACCGCAUAAGAUUGUAGUUUCGCAUGAAACAGCAAUUAAAGGAGUAAUCCGCUAUGAGAUGGACCCGCGUCGCAUUAGCUAGUUGGUGAGGUAACGGCUCACCAAGGCGACGAUGCGUAGCCGACCUGAGAGGGUGAUCGGCCACAUUGGGACUGAGACACGGCCCAGACUCCUACGGGAGGCAGCAGUGGGGAAUAUUGCACAAUGGGGGAAACCCUGAUGCAGCAACGCCGCGUGAGUGAUGACGGUCUUCGGAUUGUAAAACUCUGUCUUCAGGGACGAUAAUGACGGUGCCUGAGGAGGAAGCCACGGCUAACUACGUGCCAGCCGCCGCAGUAACAC
rnacentral:rRNA from 1 species